UUAAGCGACUAAGCGUACACGGUGGAUGCCCUGGCAGUCAGAGGCGAUGAAGGACGUGCUAAUCUGCGAUAAGCGUCGGUAAGGUGAUAUGAACCGUUAUAACCGGCGAUUUCCGAAUGGGGAAACCCAGUGUGAUUCGUCACACUAUCAUUAACUGAAUCCAUAGGUUAAUGAGGCGAACCGGGGGAACUGAAACAUCUAAGUACCCCGAGGAAAAGAAAUCAACCGAGAUUCCCCCAGUAGCGGCGAGCGAACGGGGAGNAGCCCAGAGCCUGAAUCAGUGUGUGUGUUAGUGGAAGCGUCUGGAAAGGCGCGCGAUACAGGGUGACAGCCCCGUACACAAAAAUGCACAUAUUGUGAGCUCGAUGAGUAGGGCGGGACACGUGGUAUCCUGUCUGAAUAUGGGGGGCCCAUCCUCCAAGGCUAAAUACUCCUGACUGACCGAUAGUGAACCAGUACCGUGAGGGAAAGGCGAAAAGAACCCCGGCGAGGGGAGUGAAAAAGAACCUGAAACCGUGUACGUACAAGCAGUGGGAGCACGCUUAGGCGUGUGACUGCGUACCUUUUGUAUAAUGGGUCAGCGACUUAUAUUCUGUAGCAAGGUUAACCGAAUAGGGGAGCCGAAGGGAAACCGAGUCUUAACUGGGCGUUAAGUUGCAGGGUAUAGACCCGAAACCCGGUGAUCUAGCCAUGGGCAGGUUGAAGGUUGGGUAACACUAACUGGAGGACCGAACCGACUAAUGUUGAAAAAUUAGCGGAUGACUUGUGGCUGGGGGUGAAAGGCCAAUCAAACCGGGAGAUAGCUGGUUCUCCCCGAAAGCUAUUUAGGUAGCGCCUCGUGAAUUCAUCUCCGGGGGUAGAGCACUGUUUCGGCAAGGGGGUCAUCCCGACUUACCAACCCGAUGCAAACUGCGAAUACCGGAGAAUGUUAUCACGGGAGACACACGGCGGGUGCUAACGUCCGUCGUGAAGAGGGAAACAACCCAGACCGCCAGCUAAGGUCCCAAAGUCAUGGUUAAGUGGGAAACGAUGUGGGAAGGCCCAGACAGCCAGGAUGUUGGCUUAGAAGCAGCCAUCAUUUAAAGAAAGCGUAAUAGCUCACUGGUCGAGUCGGCCUGCGCGGAAGAUGUAACGGGGCUAAACCAUGCACCGAAGCUGCGGCAGCGACGCUUAUGCGUUGUUGGGUAGGGGAGCGUUCUGUAAGCCUGCGAAGGUGUGCUGUGAGGCAUGCUGGAGGUAUCAGAAGUGCGAAUGCUGACAUAAGUAACGAUAAAGCGGGUGAAAAGCCCGCUCGCCGGAAGACCAAGGGUUCCUGUCCAACGUUAAUCGGGGCAGGGUGAGUCGACCCCUAAGGCGAGGCCGAAAGGCGUAGUCGAUGGGAAACAGGUUAAUAUUCCUGUACUUGGUGUUACUGCGAAGGGGGGACGGAGAAGGCUAUGUUGGCCGGGCGACGGUUGUCCCGGUUUAAGCGUGUAGGCUGGUUUUCCAGGCAAAUCCGGAAAAUCAAGGCUGAGGCGUGAUGACGAGGCACUACGGUGCUGAAGCAACAAAUGCCCUGCUUCCAGGAAAAGCCUCUAAGCAUCAGGUAACAUCAAAUCGUACCCCAAACCGACACAGGUGGUCAGGUAGAGAAUACCAAGGCGCUUGAGAGAACUCGGGUGAAGGAACUAGGCAAAAUGGUGCCGUAACUUCGGGAGAAGGCACGCUGAUAUGUAGGUGAAGUCCCUUGCGGAUGGAGCUGAAAUCAGUCGAAGAUACCAGCUGGCUGCAACUGUUUAUUAAAAACACAGCACUGUGCAAACACGAAAGUGGACGUAUACGGUGUGACGCCUGCCCGGUGCCGGAAGGUUAAUUGAUGGGGUCAGCGCAAGCGAAGCUCUUGAUCGAAGCCCCGGUAAACGGCGGCCGUAACUAUAACGGUCCUAAGGUAGCGAAAUUCCUUGUCGGGUAAGUUCCGACCUGCACGAAUGGCGUAAUGAUGGCCAGGCUGUCUCCACCCGAGACUCAGUGAAAUUGAACUCGCUGUGAAGAUGCAGUGUACCCGCGGCAAGACGGAAAGACCCCGUGAACCUUUACUAUAGCUUGACACUGAACAUUGAGCCUUGAUGUGUAGGAUAGGUGGGAGGCUUUGAAGUGUGGACGCCAGUCUGCAUGGAGCCGGCCUUGAAAUACCACCCUUUAAUGUUUGAUGUUCUAACGUGGACCCGUGAUCCGGGUUGCGGACAGUGUCUGGUGGGUAGUUUGACUGGGGCGGUCUCCUCCUAAAGAGUAACGGAGGAGCACGAAGGUUGGCUAAUCCUGGUCGGACAUCAGGAGGUUAGUGCAAUGGCAUAAGCCAGCUUGACUGCGAGCGUGACGGCGCGAGCAGGUGCGAAAGCAGGUCAUAGUGAUCCGGUGGUUCUGAAUGGAAGGGCCAUCGCUCAACGGAUAAAAGGUACUCCGGGGAUAACAGGCUGAUACCGCCCAAGAGUUCAUAUCGACGGCGGUGUUUGGCACCUCGAUGUCGGCUCAUCACAUCCUGGGGCUGAAGUAGGUCCCAAGGGUAUGGCUGUUCGCCAUUUAAAGUGGUACGCGAGCUGGGUUUAGAACGUCGUGAGACAGUUCGGUCCCUAUCUGCCGUGGGCGCUGGAGAACUGAGGGGGGCUGCUCCUAGUACGAGAGGACCGGAGUGGACGCAUCACUGGUGUUCGGGUUGUCAUGCCAAUGGCACUGCCCGGUAGCUAAAUGCGGAAGAGAUAAGUGCUGAAAGCAUCUAAGCACGAAACUUGCCCCGAGAUGAGUUCUCCCUGACCCUUUAAGGGUCCUGAAGGAACGUUGAAGACGACGACGUUGAUAGGCCGGGUGUGUAAGCGCAGCGAUGCGUUGAGCUAACCGGUACUAAUGAACCGUGAGGCUUAACCUU
rnacentral:rRNA from 1 species